rnacentral:tRNA from 1 species
GGGCGGCUAGCUCAGCGGUAGAGCGUCUCCUUUACACGGAGAGGGUCGGGAGUUCAAUCCUCUCGCCGCCCACCA